rnacentral:rRNA from 1 species
AGCGAACGCUGGCGGCAGGCCUAACACAUGCAAGUCGAACGCCGUAGCAAUACGGAGUGGCAGACGGGUGAGUAACACGUGGGGAUCUGCCCGAUGGUACGGAAUAACUCAGGGAAACUUGUGCUAAUACCGUAUGUGCCCGCAAGGGGAAAGAUUUAUCGCCAUCGGAUGAACCCGCGUCGGAUUAGCUAGUUGGUGUGGUAAAGGCGCACCAAGGCGACGAUCCGUAGCUGGUCUGAGAGGAUGAUCAGCCACACUGGGACUGAGACACGGCCCAGACUCCUACGGGAGGCAGCAGUGGGUAAUAUUGAACAAUGGGCGCAAGCCUGAUCCAGCCAUGCCGCGUGAGUGAUGAAGGCCUUAGGGUAGUAAAGCUCUUUCGCCGACGAAGAUAAUGACGGUAGUCGGAGAAGAAGCCCCGGCUAACUUCGUGCCAGCCGCCGCUGUAACAC